CAAUCCUUGGGAUUUCUGAGUAGAUUACAUAAUAUGCAGUUAUUGACAUUUGCUUUCCUCUUUUGAACAUUUAAAUUAGUUUUAUUUUAUAGAUGAACCUGUUGGGCAUUAGCUGUUUCUGAGGGUCUCACUUUACAAAGCCUACAGUUCGCUAUGUAACCAGGCUGACCUCAGACCUUCUGUGAUCUUUCUGCCUCAGCCUCCUGAGUGCCGGAAUGCUGCUGUGGUUUGACCACCUUUUGAUAUCAAGGUCCCUUAGCCUUGGAUCCAGCUGACUAUGGACUGAAACGGUGAACCAA